UGAAAGCGCUGUGCAGGUUGGUUUCUAGG
rnacentral:piRNA from 1 species